AAAAUACAACCAAACAAAACAAUACAAUAAAAUGAGGAGAUUGAAAAUAAGAAUGAAACAAAAGCUAGUGAUUAAAAAAACUAUGUAGUCCAAGUGUAUAAUCUUGUACAUAGUUGCAAAUAAACACUGCAACUGCAAAUUAAAUAAGGAGAGAGCAAAUAUAUAUAAAGAACCUUUUGAUCUCAAACCAUGGUGCAUUGGUUUAGAAAAAUCAGACCCCAUUUAUCUCCCACAAGUUGGAUUUAAACAACUCUCAUUGACAAACAAUAUUAGGACAAUCAAGGCCUAUUUAUAGAUGUCCUGUUUAAUAAAGAAGGUGAGAAUUCUAAAUAGAAAGAUAUUAUGCUAACAGAAAAUCAUUGUAUUUUUGGAAAUUAAUUCCAUUAAAAAUAAAAUAAAAUCAGAACGUUGAUUUGAAUUUUGACUUUUGUUUCAAUGACUAUUGAGAAUUCGAGAAAGGCAAUAAAAAAUGAAGAAACUUGCCUAAAAACUGUUUUAAAAAAGAGGCAAUAAAAUCAUAUGAGGCGGUGGAAAUUUCCCUCCCAAAAUUCCCUCUCAUUUUUAUUUUAUUUUUUUAUUUUUAUUUUUUAUUUCCAGGAUAGGUAAAUGCCCUCAUCAAUUUGCACGAUUUUCACUCUUGCACAGGAUUCUCUCACAAUUCGUAGUUCUCUCCCCCUCACAAUCGCACACCCGCAUAGUCUCCUACUUGACUGGAGAGCCAACUAUGCUAAAAUCCACUGAAGAUGCUGACCAAGGUUUUUCUCAUUUAAGGAGAGGUUUUCUUGGCUACUGAUGGUGGUCAUUUAGUGUACCUAGAAAUUGGUGAUGGGAUAUCGACAGAAGUGAAACAUGCACAAUUGGAGUAUGACAUAUCAUGCCUUGAUAUAAAUCCCAUUGGUGAAAAUCCCAACUGCAGUCAGCUAGCUGCGGUGGGAAUGUGGACUGAUAUAAGUGUUAGAAUAUUUUCUCUACCUGACUUGAAUCUCAUUACGAAGGAAAAUUUGGGGGGAGAGAUUAUACCACGCUCUGUUCUUUUAUGUUCGUUUGAAGGGGUAUGUUUUAUUCGUAAGCUUUAUGGGCCUUUGUGUUCUGUAUUUAUCUUGAUUUGCAUGCAUGCAGAUUGUUUGUGAUAGGGAAUGUAGGAUUUUCUAUUAUAGAUUCAGAAUGCUCUACAACUGCAAUAUAUGCAAAUGGCACACGUUCUAGACUCGGUCUUCCAUUAUAAACCACUUAAAUUUUUGGAUCUUUGAUCCCUUUUGUUUUAGCAUUGUUUUGAACCAUAAUAAUGUGGACCAAUUUGGCAUUUAGAUUCCUGAAAAAUGAAGCUGGGAUGGCUUUGGAACUGAGCGUGUGCCACUUUCGUUAACGUGUUAAUUGUAAAAUAUAUCUACGCAGUUUAUCCUUACUUCAUGCUCCCAAUGCUUGAUUUCU